rnacentral:rRNA from 1 species
GACGAACGCUGGCGGCGUGCUUAACACAUGCAAGUCGAACGGUAAGGCCCUUCGGGGUACACGAGUGGCGAACGGGUGAGUAACACGUGGGUGAUCUGCCCUGCACUUCGGGAUAAGCCUGGGAAACUGGGUCUAAUACCGGAUAGGACUCCUGGCUUCAUGGUUGGGGGUGGAAAGCUUUUGCGGUGUGGGAUGGGCCCGCGGCCUAUCAGCUUGUUGGUGGGGUAAUGGCCUACCAAGGCGACGACGGGUCGCCGGCCUGAGAGGGUGACCGGUCAGACUGGGACUGGGAUACGGCCCAGCCUCCUACGGGAGGCAGCAGUGGGGAAUAUUGCACAACGGGCGCAAGCCUGAUGCAGCGACGCCGCGUGAGGGAUGACGGCCUUCGGGUUGUAAACCUCUUUCAGCUAUGACGAAGCGCAAGUGACGGUAGUAGCAGAAGAAGGACCGGCCAACUACGUGCCAGCCGCCGCAGUAA